UUGUGUCCAGAAGUCUGUGGCUCUCUGGCUUUUUCACUUGGCUGGCUGCAGUUUCAUGGCUCUGACCUCAGAUCUCUAGCUGUCUCACUGUCAGAGUACCUUACUUCCCAGUUGCCUCUCCUCUGUCUUUUCUGACUGAGCCUUUUUAAGAACUACACUUUUUUUUUUGUCUGACCCUUUGCUCCUGACCUAAUGACCUCGGUGUUAUCCUAGAUGACCACUUCUCACCCAAGAUCCCAUAACAUUUCGAAGCUGGAUGAGAUGGUUCCCUGCUUGCUAAGAUGAGCUCCAGAACCCCGUGGAAACAAAUUUGAUGAUCACUGAUGAAAUGAAGGUGAUUCUGGAAAGUGCUCAGUCCACCCUAGUAUCUUCACCUGAGCAUUCUACUUUGUUGACUGGAUCCGGCUCAUCAAGGGCCAAGGAAGUCCUUCAGGCAGAAUGAGGAAGAUACAUAGAUGAACUAUCUGGAUAAGGAAAAGAGGAAGAACAUUUGAGACAAAUGAAUAGCUGGCAUGAAGUUUCCUCUUCUCCAGAACUAAGGGCUGCCACCUGUUCAGAGAACAAGUUUACUCUGGCUGGAAGUACAACACCUGGUCCCCUUUCCUUUAGGACCUGUCCUGGAAGACAUGUCUGCAGAGCUGAGUGAGGCUCCCUGCCCUGGCUGCUGUCCUGGCUUGCAGGAUCUGGGAACACAUACCCAGAAACAACUCCCCAUCCAUGUGCCCUGCCUUUCCUCACAUGCUUCCCAGAGAGCACAUACUUCAAGAAAACCAAAGAAAGAAAAAAUUGCCCUAAGAGUUCCGGAAUUGACCUCUGGCUACAAAGAGCACUGUGACUGGCUUACAAAGUUAUACGAUUCUCUGACGAAACUCUUUGUGACCCAGAGCAACUACUUAAGAGUCUGUUACAAGGUGCACAGUGUAUUCUCUCUGUGAGCUUACAUCUGUGGGCUCCACAAAGGGCAUGUGUGCCAAAAGUCUGGGUACGUGGUAGUUCCCAGUGACUGAAUCUUCGCCCAUUGGAGAAGUAAGGAACAGAGGAAAAGUCAGGCAAAUGGUCUAUGAGCUGGCUAGGUUUGUGUGCCCAUCAUCCUCUUGGCUGAAAGGCCAAAGGAAUGAGGGACAUGUCCCAAGAAGUAUGGCUGGAGCCAUGCCACAAAGUCAUACAGCCUCUUGGUGCACUGCUCUGUGCAUCUUCAAGACUCAGUCAGCAUUACAUUGACUGAUUCACUUGGUUUGUCCCCACCAAGACUCCCUAACACAGUGAAAGUGAGCACAUGCCUUCCCUAGACUGGCUUCAUUAUGGACUGGAGGCUUGACUUAGUAAUCACCUACAGCCCAAAUCUGCUCUGUUCUUGUUUACCAUGGCAGGACUUGUGGGACUCACUUGAUGGUCAUGAUUGUAGAUCGUGAUGCACAAUGCAGUGAUUGGCUCACAACAGCUCAGCCUUCUUGCCACAUGGGAACUUCCUUCAAUAUGACUUGGUGCUCAACCACAUUGUGGGACAACAGACGCCAGGCCUUUUCCCAAAGCACAGACUUGUCAGUCUCUCAGCCAUCUUUUGGUCUUCAAUAAGGAAAUACCAAUGGUACCUGGCUGUCUUGGAGGCUGACUGCAGCUGCCCCAUGUUUCCCUACUCUAAACUCAGACCAUUGUCAAGUCAAGAGCGCAGAUCAGAACCUUGUCUUCUACCAUGAGCCAGUACUGAAGUCAAUAUCCUGUCAGCAGUGUGGCCACAG
ensembl:lincRNA 4933440M02Rik RIKEN cDNA 4933440M02 gene